rnacentral:rRNA from 1 species
CCUACGGGAGGCAGCAGUGGGGAAUAUUGCACAAUGGGGGAAACCCUGAUGCAGCGACGCCGCGUGAGUGAAGAAGUAAUUCGUUAUGUAAAGCUCUAUCAGCAGGGAAGAAAAUGACGGUACCUGAGUAAGAAGCCCCGGCUAACUACGUGCCAGCAGCCGCGGUAAUACGUAGGGGGCAAGCGUUAUCCGGAUUUACUGGGUGUAAAGGGAGCGUAGACGGCAGGGCAAGUCUGGGGUGAAAGGCGGGGGCUCAACCCCCGGACUGCACUGGAAACUGUACGGCUGGAGUGCAGGAGGGGUAAGUGGAAUUCCUAGUGUAGCGGUGAAAUGCGUAGAUAUUAGGAGGAACACCAGUGGCGAAGGCGGCUUGCUGGACUGUAACUGACGUUGAGGCUCGAAAGCGUGGGGAGCAAACAGGAUUAGAUACCCUAGUAGUC